rnacentral:rRNA from 1 species
AACGAACGCUGGCGGCAGGCUUAACACAUGCAAGUCGAACGCCCCGCAAGGGGAGUGGCAGACGGGUGAGUAACGCGUGGGAAUGUGCCCUUUGGUUUCGGGAACAAACUCCGGGAAACGUGGAGCUAAUACCGAAUGUGUCCGAGAGGAGAAAGAUUUAUCGCCAAAGGAUCAGCCCGCGUUGGAUUAGCUAGUUGGUGGGGGUAAAAGCCUACCAAGGCGACGAUCCAUAGCUGGUCUGAGAGGACGAUCAGCCACACUGGGACUGAGACACGGCCCAGACUCCUACGGGAGGCAGCAGUGGGGAAUCUUGGACAAUGGGCGGAAAGCCUGACGCAGCGACGCCGCGUGAGGGA